AUUGAACGCUGGCGGCAGGCCUAACACAUGCAAGUCGAGCGAGCGGCGGACGGGUGAGUAAUGUCUGGGAACCUGCCUGAUGGAGGGGGAUAACUACUGGAAACGGUAGCUAAUACCGCAUACCAUCGGAUGUGCCCAGAUGGGAUUCGCUAGUAGGUGGGGUAUCGGCUCACCUAGGCGACUAUCCCUAGCGGGUCUGGGUGGAUGACCAGCAACACUGGAACUGAUACACGUUCCAGAAGCCUAAGGGUGGCAGCAGGGGGGAAUAUUGCAAAAGUGUCGAAAGCCUGAUGCAGCCAUGCCGCGUGUGUGAAGAAGGCCUUCGGGUUGUAAAGCACUUUCAGCGGGGAGGCGUUACUCGCAGAAGAAGCACCGGCUAACUCCGUGCCAGCAGCCGCGGUAAUUC
rnacentral:rRNA from 1 species